rnacentral:rRNA from 1 species
GAUGAACGCUGGCGGCGUGCCUAAUACAUGCAAGUCGAGCGAACAGACGAGGAGCUUGCUCCUCUGACGUUAUCGGCGGACGGGUGAGUAACACGUGGAUAACCUACCUAUAAGACUGGGAUAACUUCGGGAAACCGGAGCUAAUACCGGAUAAUAUAUUGAACCGCAUGGUUCAAUAGUGAAAGACGGUUUUGCUGUCACUUAUAGAUGGAUCCGCGCCGCAUUAGCUAGUUGGUAAGGUAACGGCUUACCAAGGCGACGAUGCGUAGCCGACCUGAGAGGGUGAUCGGCCACACUGGAACUGAGACACGGUCCAGACUCCUACGGGAGGCAGCAGUAGGGAAUCUUCCGCAAUGGGCGAAAGCCUGACGGAGCAACGCCGCGUGAGUGAUGAAGGUCUUCGGAUCGUAAAACUCUGUUAGUAGGGAAGAACAAAUGUGUAAGUAACUAUGCACGUCUUGACGGUACCUAAUCAGAAAGCCACGGCUAACUACGUG